CUAGAGGUGUCAGAAAUUUAUGAGUUUGUUUUAGAUACAAGUUAUAGGCUUUAUUGCUUUCUUUAGU
rnacentral:tRNA from 1 species